rnacentral:lncRNA from 1 species
UCUGUCGUGAGUGGCACACGUAGGGCAACCAGAUUGCUCUACGUGCGGAAUCGACAUCAAGAGAUUUCGGAAGCAUAAUUUUUUGAUACCUGGGCAGCUGGUGAUCGUUGGUCCCGGCGCCUGAGUCUUAUGUGUAAGAUAAGGAUUGAUUAUCUAUUGCUUUGUCUAUGAGGGGCCUUUGUGUCUACGUGUUUAUUCUUCGUACUACUUAAACAUUUGGGAAACUAACCAAGGAGAGAGAGAACUGUAGGGGGUUUUCUCGAUUAUUAAGUACCAUUGUAGGUGUCCGUGACUAUUACCCCGUUUGGGAAAGCCCAAAAGGAGUUUGUCAGGUAAUUCGAAUGUGGGAGUCAAAGUUGUGUUAACUGGGCAAACAAAAAGACCCAGAGACAGAUAUUGGGGUUCAAGCUGGAAACCAGAAAUGGAAAGCACGUGGUCUUUAACUCAGACCACCGUGGUGCGAGCCUCACACUCACUGCUCUGACUUCAUUGGUCCUCAGGUUCUAUCAGACUGCUAUGCUCUCCUCAAGGUGGCUUGGACCCUGUUCCUGUUUUAUGUAACUCUAAUGAGGCAGGUGAUCUUUGUGUAAACUGUUUCUUUUCAAAACUGCACCAGCCAGGCGUUGCACGCCUUUAAUCCCAGCAGAGGCAGGUGGGUCUCUGUGAGUUCGAGGCCGGCCUGGUCUCCAGAGUGAGUGGCAGGAUAGGCUCCGAAGCUACACAGAGAAACCCUGUCUCAAAUAAAACAAAACAAAACAUUUCCUUGUGUUCUGUCAUAUUGGUGCUGGGAAUUGAACUCUUCUGGAAGAGCAGACAAGUGCUCUUCACCUCUGAGCUGUCUCUUCAGCCCUCAUUAGCGAUUUUUUUUGUUCCCUUUUAAAUUGUUUUUGGUUUAUAUGUGUGAGUGCUUUGUCUACAUGCAUACCUGGUAAAGAGUAUAUUGGAUUUCCUGAGAUUUAGAAUUGAAGAGAAGUAUGAGUUACCAUGUAGGUGCUGGGAAUUGAACCUUGGUCCUCUGGAAGAGCAGCCAGUGCUCUUAACCACUGAGCCAUCUCUCCAGCCAGCCCUCCAACCCUAACUGAUCAUUUAUUUAUUUAUUUAUUUAUUUAUUUAUUUAUUUAUUUAUUUGUGUUUCUAGACAGGGUUUCUCUGUGUAGCUUUGGAGCCUAUCCUGGCACUCGCACUGGAGACCAGGCUGGCCUCAAACUCACAGAGAUCCACCUCUGCCUCCCGAGUGCUGGGACUAAAGGCGUGUGCCACCAACGCCCGGCAACUGAUUUUUUUUUUUUUUUUUU